UAAAGCAUGUCUUGUGUUGUGGUCGAGUUGUAGAAAUUAUCCAGAUUAUCAUUAACUGAUAUGUUUGCUAAUGAGGAUAUUUUUAAUGAUUAUUUUAUUCCUUAUUAUUAGCUAAACACUUCAAGCGUAUCAAUAUGUCUAUUUCCUUUUGAAAGGAAUAUUACAGAUAUGGUUAUCUCGCUUGUAUUAUGGAAAUAUAGGAAAACUGAAAACAUGCGUUAAUUUCCAAGCCGUUAAAUCGAUCGUGCAAUAAUUUCGUUAACAUUGUUGUAUACCCCCUAUAACAUAAACAAACAUGGCUAUGUCACAGUUCCAAGAUCGAAAAAUAUAUUUCAAUGAAACAGUCAACUGUGUAUGACUGAGAACUUCAUUUUGAAAUUAGAUAUAUCCAUAUUUGUACAAAGUAUGUUUUGCAUGACACACCGUGUCAGUAGAUGCCAAAGAGUAGGACGGAUAUACAAAUAAUAUUUCCCUGUCAAUGUAAAGAAACAAAUUGGGCGAACGAAAGUAUUUACAAAAUUUCCUCGAAAAUAUAUGAGGGAGAAUUGUGCUUAGUAACACAUUGUGCAAUCGAUCUCUUAUAAGAACGUUGCCAUCUUAGUUGUUUUAUAAACUCUCUGACAUGUAGUUCCGUUGUUUACGCUUGCCAUUCUAUUCAACUCUGCUACGUAUUCGUAUUUAUGAAAUAUCUUCAUACUGCAAUAAUACUACUUGCAUCCACAAUUCCAUGUAAGCAAUAUCUCUUACUGUAGAUGGAUUCCACGAUUAAUUUAACUUCAUUUGUAUUUAAACAAUCUAACAGUUACAUGUUAAUGUUCCGAAAUUUUAAUUUCGACAAUUAAAAGCAUUAGAUAUUUAAUACAAAUGGCUAAACUGUUUUCAUAGGACACUUAUUUUAUAAUAGCUUAUGGUGUUUACAGAUCACACCUUGGGGGUGGGCUAUAACAUAUACUCUUGUUGUAACUAUCUGUUCUCUACUUUUACUUAUUCUCUAGAAACAUUUACAUUUGCAGUCUGUGCACGGUCUCAGCAGACAUCAACUAAUGGAUCUUUUACUGCGAUUCUUGGUUGUGAUGACAACACGGAUACCUUCUCUCUUAGCAAUGAUGGGGUGAAUCAGUCCUGGUCUCUUGAGUUGGACGAUAUAUUUACAAUCGAUUGGAUCUUUAUUUCCAUUGGUGCUGGUACCUACAUUAUUUACGGAGAACUAACUGGGAGUCUGCCUGAGAAUGUACGGAUAUCAAACAAUCCGAUGAAAUGAAUCCUACAUCGUUUCAGCAUCUGAUUACAUGUGAUUAUUCCAAUGCUGUCUACAGGAAAGGAAAUAGAAUUAGCAUAACUCAAACAGGAAAUGGACCGAUCAAAGUGUUUGCAUUAAAACCAAUAGGUAUACAACACACUUUCCAUACUUACAAUGUACUUACACAGCUAAUUAACAUGUAAUACAAAUUACAGACCUUUAUUUCAUAACCUCUACGUCGUGAAAUUUACACUAAUUCUAGAGUUAAACAAACUAUGAAACAUUUUCCCUCCGUAUAUCGAAAGGUUUGUCUUUUGGUUGAGGUGUGUUAUUAUAUUUGUUUUAAGAUUUAGUGUAGGAAUAUAGAUCAUCAAAUAGAAUGUCAUUAAAGUUCAUUAAAUAUGAUAAA